rnacentral:rRNA from 1 species
AGUGAACGCUGGCGGUAGGCCUAACACAUGCAAGUCGAACGGCAGCACAGUAAGAGCUUGCUCUUACGGGUGGCGAGUGGCGGACGGGUGAGGAAUACAUCGGAAUCUACUUUUUCGUGGGGGAUAACGUAGGGAAACUUACGCUAAUACCGCAUACGACCUACGGGUGAAAGCAGGGGAUCUUCGGACCUUGCGCGAUUGAAUGAGCCGAUGUCGGAUUAGCUAGUUGGCGGGGUAAAGGCCCACCAAGGCGACGAUCCGUAGCUGGUCUGAGAGGAUGAUCAGCCACACUGGGAGUGAGGCUCCAGACAGCCACCUACGGGAGGAGUGAGGAGGGAAUAUCGGUGAGUGGGAGCAAGCCCGAGCCAGCCAUACCGCGUGAGUGAGGCAGUCCUUCGGGUAGGAACGUCCGUUGGGUAAGAAAGACAAGCGGCAGGUUCCUCCCCGGCUGUACGGUCGGUACCGAAAGAACACGCACCGACUAAGUG